UACGGAGGAUCCGAGCGUUAUCCGGAUUUAUUGGGUUUAAAGGGAGCGUAGGCGGGGGUUUAAGUCAGCUGUGAAAUGCCGUGGCCCAACCAUGGAACUGCAGUUGAAACUGGACCUCUUGAGAGUACAUAAGGAAGGCGGAAUUCGUGGUGUAGCGGUGAAAUGCAUAGAUAUCACGAAGAACUCCGAUUGCGAAGGCAGCUUUCCGGGGUACAUCUGACGCUGAAGCUCGAAAGUGCGGGAAUCAAACAGG
rnacentral:rRNA from 2 species